UUGGGCAGUGGACAAAUUGGUUUACAGUUAGGCUGGCCCCAGAACNGGUGCUGCUUGGCUGUCGUCAGCUCGUGUCGUGAGAUGUUGGGUUAAGUCCCGCAACGAGCGCAACCCUCGCCCUUAGUUGCCAGCAUUUAGUUGGGCACUCUAAGGGGACUGCCGGUGAUAAGCCGAGAGGAAGGUGGGGAUGACGUCAAGUCCUCAUGGCCCUUACGGGCUGGGCUACACACGUGCUACAAUGGUGGUGACAGUGGGCAGCGAGACAGCGAUGUCGAGCUAAUCUCCAAAAGCCAUCUCAGUUCGGAUUGCACUCUGCAACUCGAGUGCAUGAAGUUGGAAUCGCUAGUAAUCGCAGAUCAGCAUGCUGCGGUGAAUACGUUCCC
rnacentral:rRNA from 1 species